AUCCUUAAUCUUAAUCCAACAUCGAGGUCGCAAAAUUUUUUAUCGAUAAGAACUCUCAAAAAAAAUUACGCUGUUAUCCCUAAGGUAAUUUAAUCUUAAAAUCAAAAAUAUUGGAUCAAUAAAAACGUAAAUAAACGUAAAAUAUAAAAAAAAAGUUAGAUAAAUUUUCCCAUCACCCCAACAAAAUAGAAAUAAAAAAUAUAAAAAUUAAUUCUUAAAAAAUACAAAAAUAAAUUUCUAUUAAACUCUAUAGGGUCUUCUCGUCUAUAAUAAAAAUUUAAGCUUUUUUACUUAAAAAUAAAUUUCUCAAUAAAAAUAAAUUAAAGACAGAUUAUUUCUCAUCCAACCAUUCAUACAAGUUCCUAAUUAAGAAACUAAUGAUUAUGCUACCUUUGCACAGUCAAAAGACUGCGGCCAUUGAACUAUUAUCGGGCAGGGGUUACCUUAAACGAAAACAAAAAUCC
rnacentral:rRNA from 1 species